UGAGAAUGCGUUGCAGAACUCACCAGCGCUUUGUUGCCUGCUGUACCUCGCAGAAUGCCGGAUUUACUUUUCACGAAGAAGCAGUACCUGGCCAGACCGCAUUUUUCUCGCUCUCCUUGGUCAUGGGAAGAUUGGAAACAAUAUUCUUUUGAUGCUCAGUGCACUCAGCCUGCGUGCGUGUGCGGCUGUGGCAGUGGAGGAGGAGGACAAACUUUGCUACCUGUGAGACGAAGGCUGGUAGCACUGGAAAUGAAAAGAGUUCCAUUUACGAUGUUGUUCUCAGG